UACAGAGGGUGCAAGCGUUAUUCGGAAUUACUGGGCGUAAAGCGUGCGUAGACGGUCAUGUAAGUCGGGUGUGAAAGCCCCGGGCUCAACCUGGGAAUUGCAUUCGAGACUGCAUGGCUAGGAUGCGGAAGAGGGAAGCGGAAUUUCCGGUGUAGCGGUGAAAUGCGUAGAUAUCGGAAGGAACACCAGUGGCGAAAGCGGCUUCCUGGUCCAGCAUCGACGUUCAGGCACGAAAGCGUGGGGAGCAAACAGG
rnacentral:rRNA from 1 species